UUUUGCACUUGUCGGGGAAGGGUGAGAACAUUCGAUUAAGGUUCGACUCGAGCGAAAGCGAGAGAACGUUGCCAACGGCAACGGCCCGUAGGGUGAGGAGCGAAGCGACGAAUAAUCCUUCCCCCACCACCA
rnacentral:sRNA from 1 species